rnacentral:lncRNA from 1 species
AAAACAAGGGCGAUCAAAAUUUUGAUAUAUCUCUGGAGUAGCAAACCAAGAAGGUUUUACAAGGCUGAUCCAACAUCGCGCUCAAAGAUCAUUCACUGGCAGGUGGAGUUGUCUGCCUUUUAUAAGCGUUUAAUUUUCUGGAAGUGUUUGCAAGGCUGAUCUCGAGCUUGGCGCCAGUGAAUGAAAAAAAACACUUUACUGUCUUCACAUUUGAACAUCAACUACCAAAAGUAAGAAAGGAACACACAAAUUAAAAAGAAAGGAACACACAAAUUAAAAAGAAUAUCAGUUGAUGUUGUUCUUACCUUAGAUUUUAGCAACCUCCUUUCCACUAGGAUCUUUUGUGACGCUCUUUCAAGAUCUUUGUAAGCUGCCUCAAGCUUAAAUCUUGCAAAGAUUGCUUACUGUCAUUACCAGCAAUGCCUUUGUAGACUGGUUCUGGGAUAGCAUUAUGUAUGGGAGAAGCUUGGGGAGGAAGAGCAUGAGCAGCAAUAUCCACGUUAAUCACAGCAUGAUCAAUUUCAGAUUCUUUCAAGAUCUUUCUAAGCUGCCUCAAGCUUAAAUCUUGCAAAGAUUGCUUACUGUCAUUACCAGCAAUGCCUUUGUAGACUGGUUCUGGGAUAGCAUUAUGUAUGGGAGAAGCUUGGGGAGGAAGAGCAUGAGCAGCAAUAUCCACAUUAAUCGCAGCAUGGUCAAUUUCAGAUUCUUCCAUAGGUAUGGGAGAAGCUUGGGGAGGAAGAGCAUGAGCAGCAAUAUCCACAUUAAUCGCAGCAUGAUCAAUUUCAGAUUCUUCCAUAGGUUCUUCUCCAGCAACUACUUCUGAAACAUGUAAACACUGCUGACUUCCUCUCAUCUUAACAUCACACUCACCUUC